AGCUCCAAUAGCGUAUAUUAAAGUUGUUGCGGUUAAAAAGCUCGUAGUUGGAUCUCAGUUCCGGACCGACGGUUCGCCGCCCGGCGUCUACUGUCGGCUUCCGAACAGCCCGCCGGCUCGCGCGGGGUGCUCUUCAUCGAGUGUCCCGAGUGGCCGGCACGUUUACUUUGAAAAAAUUAGAGUGCUCAAAGCAGGCCCAGCCGCCUGAAUAGUCGUGCAUGGAAUAAUGGAAUAGGACCUCGGUUCUAUUUUGUUGGUUUUCGGAACUCGAGGUAAUGAUUAAUAGGGACAGACGGGGGCAUUCGUAUUGCGACGUUAGAGGUGAAAUUCUUGGAUCGUCGCAAGACGAACUACUGCGAAAGCAUUUGCCAAGAAUGUUUUCA
rnacentral:rRNA from 1 species